UACAGAGGGGGCGAGCGUUGUUCGGAAUUACUGGGCGUAAAGGGCGCGUAGGCGGCCAACUAAGUCGGACGUGAAAUCCCCUGGCUCAACCAGGGAACUGCGUCCGAUACUGAUUGGCUUGAAUCCGGGAGAGGGAUGUGGAAUUCCAGGUGUAGCGGUGAAAUGCGUAGAUAUUGGGAGGAACACCAGUGGCGAAGGCGGCUCACUGGACCGGAACUGACGCUGAGGCGCGAAAGCGUGGGGAGCAAACAGG
rnacentral:rRNA from 1 species